GUGUGUGUGUGUGUACAUGGGGCUAUGAGGCCUGUCUAUCACUGUCACAUGCCCCUAGAGGACAGAUUCAGGGUGUGUGGACCACCCAGAUUCCCAGUUCUGGUUUGCAAACUACCUUUCGUGUCACACUAGGGUCAUCUGACCUGACUAGGGACAUCAAAGUCCCCUCCAAUAGAAGCAUCAAAAUUGGGUGUCAGUGACUCCAGAAAACUUUCCUUCGCACACCAGUAAGACCAACACCAGUAUUUCCCAGCUAUGGUCCUAGAAGCUAGGCUAUGAUGUGCAUGGCUGGGUUUACUGCUUCUGGUAAAGUUCCCUGUGCUGUUUGUACAUGAUUUGCACUAGUGUGUGUGUGUGUGUGUGUGUGUGUGCAUGUGUGCAUGUGUGAGUGUGUGCAUGCGCAUUGUGAGUGUACGUGUGUGCACGAGUGUGCAUGUAUGAGUGUGAGUGUACGUGUGUGCACGAGUGUGCAUGUAUGAGUGUGCGUGCGUGUGUUGCAUGUGCAGGCUGGAGGAGGGCAUCAGAUGUUCUCCUCUAUAAGGAGAACCUUUGAGGCAGGGUCUAUCUGUGAACCUGGAGCUUACAGUUCACAGCCCACUGAGAGCCACUGAGUGCUAGUGGUCCCCCUGUCUCUGCCCACUGACUGCUAGGGUUUUACAGCAUUUGAAGGAUGUUCGGCUUGUUACGGGAACUCCGAUCCUUAGGCUUAUACAACGAGCUCUCUUAACCACUGAGACAUCUUUCCAUCUCUCAAACCCUUCCUCUUAUCUCAGCUUCUCCAUUUCCCAAGCACAAGUGAGGUAACCAGGCUUGGUGGGAAGCAGAGAGAAGCAGGGGGACACCUAGCUUCUAUCAAUAGGAAGUGGUGCACAGAGAUGCUAUAGAGACAGCUCAGUCCUUCACCUGUCACUUGCUGGGUUCACCUGGGCUCUGUGUAUCUCCGUCACCCUGCUCUGGGUGGCUGAACUCCCUGAAGGCUUGACUACUCCCAAAUCCAAUAUUUGCACUGUUUUUGUGACCUUCCUUGGGCAAGGGGUCAAGAGUUUCCAGCUCAGGCACAUUUAGGGUGGCCACGCUUCUGUGAAUCUUGGAAAUGCUCGCAAACAGCACCCACAGUGCACAAGCAUGGGUGAAUGCUCCACCUCCACUGCCAGAGGCGAUGUGCAGCCUGAGUCAGCUAGUGACCAGUUUCUGAGAACUGAGGAACUCCUAACUAACCAAGUCACCUCUCUCCCUCAGGUGGAACUUCCAGGCCCAAGGAGAACCCUUGGCAGAAGCGCCCCAAGAGUUCCAGAAGGGACAGCAAAUAAAGAUUUAGUUUGCAAAUGAGAUUCAGAUAUCCCCCAGCACACCAGGGAUAUUCACAGUCCAGGAUGCUCUGAGGCAUUUUGACUUUCAGAAGCCCUUUCCUGUGAUCUUCUGCCAUAAUUGCCCACCACGGUGAGAAACCUCCUUUGUCAACUUCCAUCAACUCCAGAGGGUUUUCUGGCAAAGGAGCUCCACUCACUGCCACCAAAGGUCAGGGUGAAAAAAUCUGAGCUUCAGAAACAGAUCCCAAUUAGGACCAGAGAGGGGAGCAUGAGGCAGGCCGGCUGAUGUACAGGAGGCUCCAAGAUCAGGUGUCAAUUUCCCAUGGAUCAAUCCGGAGAAGACUGUGAAUUGAGGUAGCUCUACUUUGAAUCUGGUCCAAGUGCCACUUUAUUGGUUCCAGCCCAGUGCCCCUAACAAAUGAGAACCUCUGGUUUUUGAUUCUAGCACACCUGACUGGCUGGGCAUGCGCAUGUCUAUCCAAGCCCCAAAAGAAGAUGUGGGGAUAGAAUCAGCUCUGGAGUGGAUAAGUAAAUAAUGUGAAAGGUCUACAAUGGAGUACUAUACAGCACCAUAAAAUGCAAUCUCCAUCUCCAUCCAACCACACUGAUGACUCUCACAAGCAUAAGGUUGAAAGACAGACAGAUAGACAGACAGACACACAGAGAGAAACAGAGACAGAGAGAGGCUAAGCAUAAAAGAAUGAGCCUUGCAUAAUUCCACCUCAAGAGAUGGGCAAAACUGAAUUGGCUCUCUCUCUCUCUCUCUCUCUCUCUCUCUCUCUCUCUCUCUCUCUCUCUCUCUCUGCGUGUGUGUGUGUGAGUAGUAGUAUUCAUAGUUGUAGUAGUAGUAGUAGUAAUUCUGGGGAUUGAAUCCAAGGGCUUGAACAUUCCAGACAAAUGCUCUACACUGACAUAUACCUCAAGGCCUAUGUCCUAGUUCUUUAAAAAACAAAUUGUUGAAAGUAAAAAUAUCUGUGUUUCUGAGGGAGGGUAUGUGCAUGUGAGUGCAGCGCCCAUGGAAACCCAAAGAGGAUGCUGGGUCCUCUGGACCUGGGGUUAUAGGCAGUUGUGACCCACUGGAUGUCAUGCUGGGAAUGGAACUCUGAGAGAGCAGUAUUCUUUCUCAACUGCCGAGCCAUCUCUCCAGCCCCAAGUGUCUUAUUUCUUAAUUAUAGGAGCAUUCAUCUUCUGAAAAUUCAUCAGUACAUCUGCUUGAACCUGUGCACUUGUCUGGGUGAAGGGUGCUUUUUGAUAAAAAGUCAGAGAGGAAAGUUGGGCUGUAAGAGAGCCAGAUGGCAGCAGAGAGGAUGGAUCUAUGCUGUUUUCUGGAAACUCCAUGUUGGGCAGUGUUCCGUGGCGUAGGACAACUGAAGAGGACAGGAACAAGAUCCUCAAGGUGGCCAGGUUCAUGUAAGUUGCUUAAGGGGACAUGCAGCUUCUUUAGGGUUGCACAGUGUCCCAUAAGGAUGAUGCUUUGAGGAACUUUCUGCCCAGACUUUCCCUCUAGAUCCAGGAAUAAGCACACCACCCAACACCCAUCCCUGUGGACUGCACCCAACCUCUGUUCCACACUUUGAGCAAAUGACACGGGUGCAGGCGUCUUUGGGAUUGGCCUGAUGCACAGCUCAAUUUCUAGAAGCUGGAGAAGCACCGUUUCUAACUUUUGAUCCUCAUUUUUCAUAUGUCACCCAUAGUUAGAAAUAAGUUUUAUAUUCAUGAUUCUGAGUUAAGUGCAUCAAUGUAUUGCUCCAAGGGUACCUACCACUCAGAAAAACAUCUUUCUGAAAUAACACAGCCUCUUGCUCCUUGUCAUUUGGAUCUAGCCCAUUAGAAAGAAAACCCAUUAAAAAAAAAAAGAAAGAAAAGAAAA